GUGCCAGCCGCCGCGGUAAUACGGAGGAUGCGAGCGUUAUCCGGAUUUAUUGGGUUUAAAGGGUGCGUAGGCCGACUUUUAAGUCAGCGGUGAAAUUUUCCGGCUUAACCGGGACCUUGCCGUUGAAACUGAUAGUCUUGAGUGUAAAUGAGGUAGGCGGAAUGUGUGGUGUAGCGGUGAAAUGCUUAGAUAUCACACAGAACUCCGAUUGCGAAGGCAGCUUACUGGCAUACAACUGACGCUGAGGCACGAAAGUGUGGGUAUCAAACAGGAUUAGAUACCCUGGUAGUCCACACAGUAAACGAUGAUAACUAGCCGUUGGCGAUAUACAGUCAGUGGCAGAGCGAAAGCAUUAAGUUAUCCACCUGGGGAGUACGCCGGCAACGGUGAAACUCAAAUGAAUUGACGG
rnacentral:rRNA from 1 species